rnacentral:rRNA from 1 species
AUUGAACGCUGGCGGCAGGCCUAACACAUGCAAGUCGAACGAGUCGCGGACGGGUGAGUAAUGUAUGGGAAACUGCCCGAUGGAGGGGGAUAACUACUGGAAACGGUAGCUAAUACCGCAUACAAUCGGAUGUGCCCAGUUGGGAUUAGUUUGGAGGUGGGGUAAGGGCUCACCUAGGCGACGAUCCCUAGGUGGUCUGAGAGGAUGACCAGACACACUGGAACUGAGACACGGUCCAGACUCCUACGGUAGGCAGCAUUGGGGAAUAUUGCACAAUUGGCGCAAGCCUGAUCCAGCCAUGCCGCGUGUAUGAAGAAGGCCUUCGGCUUGUAAAGUUCUUUCAGCUGGGAAGCGUUACUCACAGAACAAGCACCGGCUAACUCCGUGCCAGCAGCCGCGGUAAUAC